CUGACAGAACUGUGGGGACGCAGAAGGAGAGCACUACCUGGAAUGGAAUCCAGGGGCAAGCACAGGAGGGGUACGGCUGGAAAAACCGCCGUGCAACCCAAAGGUGUGACGCAUACCGAACUAAAGUAGGGAAAUGUGUGAGCCGGCUGCCGAGAAAAGCCGCUAUUGUUUGUACUGUACCCGUACCGUAAACCGACACAGGUGGAUGAGGAGAGAAUCCUAAGGCCGACGGAAGAAGCAUUGCUAAGGAACUCGGCAAAAUGACCCUGUAACUUCGGGAGAAAGGGUGCCUCGAAAGAGGCCGCAGAGAAUAGGCCCAAGCAACUGUUUAGCAAAAACACAGGUCUAUGCAAAAACCGCAAGGUGAAGUAUAUGGGCUGACGCCUGCCCGGUGCUGGAAGGUUAAGGGGAGAUGUCAGGAGACGAAGCAUCGAACUUAAGCCCCAGUAAACGGCGGCCGUAACUAUAACGGUCCUAAGGUAGCGAAAUUCCUUGUCGGGUAAGUUCCGACCCGCACGAAAGGCGUAAUGAUUUGGGCGCUGUCUCGGCAAUGCAUCCGGUGAAAUUGAAGUGCCAGUGAAGAUGCUGGCUACCCGCGCCAGGACGGAAAGACCCCAUGGAGCUUUACUCCAGCUUGAUACUGGGAUUCGGUAUUGUAUGUACAGGAUAGGUGGGAGGCUGAGAAAUGGUGACGCCAGUCGCCAUGGAGCCGCUGUUGGGAUACCACCCUUGCAGUACUGGAUUUCUAACCAGCAGCCGUGAUCCGGCUGGGGGACAAUGUCAGGUGGGGAGUUUGACUGGGGCGGUCGCCUCCGAAAGGGUAUCGGAGGCGCUCAAAGGUUCCCUCAGAAUGGUCGGAAACCAUUCGAAGAGUGCAAAGGCAGAAGGGAGCUUGACUGCGACACCGACGGGUGGGGCAGGUACGAAAGUAGGACUUAGUGAUCCGGUGGUAUUAAGUGGGAAUGCCAUCGCUCAACGGAUAAAAGCUACCCUGGGAUAACAGGCUUAUCACUCCCAAGAGUUCACAUCGACGGAGUGGUUUGGCACCUCGAUGUCGGCUCAUCGCAUCCUGGGGCUGUAGUAGGUCCCAAGGGUUGGGCUGUUCGCCCAUUAAAGCGGUACGCGAGCUGGGUUCAGAACGUCAUGAGACAGUUCGGUCCCUAUCCGGCGUGGGCGUAGGAUAUUUGAGAGGAGCUGACCUUAGUACGAGAGGACCGGGUUGGACUGACCUCUGGUGCACCGGUUGUCAUGCCAAUGGCACAGCCGGGUAGCCAAGUCGGGAAGGGAUAAACGCUGAAGGCAUCUAAGCGUGAAGCCCCCCUCAAGAAGAGAUAUCCCCCGCAUAAGCGGUAAGACCCCUUGAAGACGACGAGGUAGAUAGGGCAGAGGUGGAAGUGCAGUAAUGUAUGGAGCUGACUGCUACUAAUAGGUCGAAGGCUU
rnacentral:rRNA from 1 species